rnacentral:miRNA from 1 species
UUGAAGAUGAAGUUGGUGU